rnacentral:lncRNA from 1 species
CAGGCCGUGAAAUAUUAUUACUUAGUUGUUAAUUUUCUCGAAAUCUAAAGGCACAACCUUGAUUCGAGACAGUGUUUUAAGCAGUUGAACAUGUUAUUACUCCAACCUUGUGAAAGUAACAAACUAACACGUUUCCAUUUCCGAAAAGAAAUCAUUUAUAUCGGAGUGCCUUUGACGACCUGAGCAGUUUGGCGCGAGAGAACCGUGAGACCCGUCGUCUCACGCGGACGUGUUUCUGCAUAUGUGUUUACUUGGCUAACGUCGCCAUGACAUCCCUUACAAGUGUGCGGAACUCAUGCAUUGAGGAAAUUGGUCCAUCAACGGGCAGUAAAUACAGUGACACCGUGUCACAACGUGCUCAUGAAAAUCAGACACCGUCUAUUUUGCCAGCUGGG